AUGCCGAGGCCGCGUCAUUCCGAGCCGUGGCCGCAGCACAUCGUCAGACUUGCCAAGCGGCGGCGCACGCGUACACAGAUGGCCGCGAUCCCACCACGAACGUCGGUGCUGCUGCUGGCGCUGGCCGUCGCCGCUCUCGGCUGCCACGCCGUGGAGCCGCCGAAGCAAGAGCGGACGGCGCUGCAGUCCUUCCUCGCCGCCUUGCCGCACGAGCGCGAUCUGGGCUGGAACUCGCCGUCCGCGCCCUCGGCGUGCCUCUGGCCCGGCGUCGCCUGCGACGCGAGCAACGCCACGGUCGUCGCCGUCCGCCUCCCCGGCGUCGGCCUCGCCGGUGCCCUCCCCGCCGGCACGCUCGGCGAGCUCCGGGGCCUCCGGAAGCUCUCCCUCCGCAACAACCGCCUCUUCGGCCCCAUCCCCAAGGACUUCUUCGCGCUGCCCCUGCUCCGCUCGCUCUACCUCCAGGGGAACCGUCUCUCCGGCUCCAUCCCGCCCGAGGUCGCCGGGCUCGCGGCGCUCUGGCACCUCGCGCUCUACGACAACCACCUGUCCGGUGAGAUACCGGCCGCGCUCGACGGCCUGAGGGAGCUACGGUUGCUUAGGCUCGACGGCAACCGCCUCUCCGGUGGCCUUCAGAGCCUGAGCGGCCUCCAGCGGCUCAAGGUGUUUAAUGUCUCGGACAACCAGCUCGCCGGCGCCGUCCCGCCCUCCCUCGCGAACUUCUCGCUAGAGUCAUUCGCCGGCAACCUUCGGCUCUGCGGCGAGCCCCUCGACCGGCCAUGCCCGUCCCCCGGCGGCGGAGUCGUCCCACCGGUGCAAGAGAAGAAGAGGAAGCGGCUCUCCGGCACGGCGGUCGCGGCCAUCGCCGUGGGCGCCGCGGCUGGCGCGCUGCUCGUUCUCAUCCUGCUCGUGCUCUGCUUUGUCCGCCGCCGCCGGGACGACGCGGCAGCCAGCGGCGACGACAGGAACAAGGCGCCCACGCCGGCGACGCCGGCGAGAGGGCACACGCUGACGCCGUCGACGGUGUCAGGCGAGAUGACCGACCUGACGUCUUCAAAGGAGAUACCCUCGGCGGCGGGCGGCGGCGCGGCGGAGAUGAUGAGGAGCCGGCUGGUGUUCAUGGGCGGCGGCGGCUACAGCUUCGACCUGGAGGACCUGCUGCGGGCGUCGGCGGAGGUGCUGGGGAACGGCGUCGCGGGGCCGACGUACAGGGCGACGCUGGAGGACGGGACGACGGUGGCGGUGAAGCGGCUGAAGAACGUGGCGGCGGAGCGACAGGAGUUCGCGUCCGCCGUGGAGACGUUGGGCCGGGUGCAGCACCGCAACCUGCUCCCCGUCCGCGGCUACUACUACUCCAGCGACGAGAAGCUCCUCGUCGCCGACUUCCUGCCCGACGGCAGCCUCUCCGCCGCGCUCCACGGUAGUGGCGGCUCCGGCCGGACAAGGAUGGACUGGAACACGCGGAAGCGGGCCACGCUGUCGGCAGCGCGCGGGGUGGCGCACCUGCACGCGGCACACGGCCUCACCCAUGGAAACUUGAAGUCGUCCAACCUGCUACUCCGGCACGGCGACCCGGAAGCCGCAGCGCUUUCCGACUACUCCCUUCAGCACCUCUUCUCCCCACCACCGUCGUCAGUGCAAGGCAGUGUCGGUGGGUACCGCGCGCCGGAGCUCGUGGAUGCGCGUCGGCCGACAUUCAAGUCGGACAUAUACUCGCUCGGAGUGCUCUUCCUUGAGAUCCUCACCGGCAGGUCCCCCACGGCGGCGUCGACCGGUGUGGGUGACAGCGGUGUGUCGUCGGACCUGCCGCGAUGGGUACAAUCGGUGGUAAGGGAGGAGUGGACGGCGGAGGUGUUCGACGCGGAGCUGGUGAGCCUGGAUGAGGGCGGCGCCGAGGAGGAGAUGGUGGCGCUGCUGCAGGUGGCCAUGGCGUGUGCGGCCACGGCGCCGGACGCGCGGCCAGACGCCUCGGAGGUCGUGAGGAUGGUCGAGGAGAUCGGCGUCGGGCACGGGCGGGCCACGACAGAGGAUAGAGCGCAGGGUGCAUCCGAGGAGGAGGAGCAGUCAUGGGGCACGCCGACGGCCAGCGCAACGUCGUGA
rnacentral:rRNA from 1 species